rnacentral:misc_RNA from 1 species
UUCUCGGCCAAAUUUUCAAUUGCCAAUAUGAAGAAUGCAGUUUCCGAAGUACAACCAAAAACCAGAGAGAUAUUCCUGGGAAAUAUCCCAGUAGUGAAGGCUUGGAAUCUUUAUUCAAUGAAAUACAAGGAACAAACGGAAUACAACAAGAUAACAUUUAUAUACAAGUCAUGUUUCAGUAAGUUUUUAUGUACAGGAGGUAUCAUUAUGUUAAUUGCCACUAUUCCUUGUCAGGGAGAUAAGAAAGCAAAUCAGUGCUUGCAAAAUUUCAAUCAAACAUCCCUUACCUUAAGCCUGAUUUCCGUAAAAGAUUUUGAUGAAUUUUUUGGGCUUAAUGAAACAGGACUGAACUUGCGGACCAUGACCUUGAAAAAUGGAAAGAAUAUUAUGUAGAGCGCAGCCAAAAUAAAGGGUGCUGCAACAAGCCAUCCCAAUAACGCAUGGGCAAUGCUUAAUAAGACCUCAUGUGAAGCUUGUCCGGUCAACACCUUCUUCAAAGCAUCAGAUGUCAAUGGAAAAUGAGGUCCACCAUAGAUUACUUCACCAAAGCGCAAGAAGGGUACAACAAGACUCAACUCUAUAGGCGUUGCAACAAAAUUAGCUAACAGUACAGUUGGAGCAUGGCACAGAGACCCAAGCAAUGCAAUAGCCAUUCCACAUAGCAGAACAGUGACUCCACAUAUUGGAAAUAUUCCUAUAGUAAUUCCAAGAGCUGCAGAGAAUGCCAGUUGUUUCAGCUCUAUACCUCUGCUGAGAAUUUGGUAGAGAGGAUCGAGUAUCUUCUUGUUAAACCAAGACUUCAAUCCGAUCAUCGAUACCAACAUUUCUUCUCCUCUCUUAACACGAAAAAGAAAUCAAUUUCCACUGCCUAUUUCAACUCGAAUUUCAAUAAAAAAUGUCGAAAA